rnacentral:rRNA from 1 species
UGCCAGCCGCCGCGGUAAUACGGAGGGGGUUAGCGUUGUUCGGAAUUACUGGGCGUAAAGCGCGCGUAGGCGGACUGAAAAGUUGGGGGUGAAAUCCCGGGGCUCAACCCCGGAACUGCCUUCAAAACUAUCAGUCUUGAGGUCGAGAGAGGUGAGUGGAAUACCGAGUGUAGAGGUGAAAUUCGUAGAUAUUCGGUGGAACACCAGUGGCGAAGGCGGCUCACUGGCUCGAUUCUGACGCUGAGGUGCGAAAGUGUGGGGAGCAAACAGGAUUAGCUA